rnacentral:ncRNA from 1 species
AUAAAUUUUUUAUGAUUUAUAAAAUUUAUUAUAGAUUUAUUUUGCAUAUAAAUUUUAGUGUUAAUUUUUAUUUAUUUUAAUAAUAAUUAAUUAAAUAUUAUAGUAAUUAAUAUUAAAAAUUUAAGAAAUUAAGAUUUAGUAAUAUUUAAAUUAGUAACAAAUUUUGUGCCAGCAGUUGCGGUUAAACAAAAGUUAAAUUAAAUUUUAUUAGUAAUUAAUAAAUAAUAAAUUGAAAUUUAAUUAAAUAUUAAAUUAUUAAGUGAAAUUUUAAUUUAAUUAAAAUUAAUUUAUAAAUUAUUAUUUAAUAAAUUUUAAAUAUAAACUAGGAUUAGAUACCCUAUUAUUAAAAAUUUAAAUUAAUAAUACUAAAAUAGUAUGUAAUUAUUUAUUGAAACUUAAAUAAUUUGGCGGUAUUUUAGUUCAUUUAGAGGAAUCUGUUUAUUAAUUGAUAAUCCACGAAUAAAUUUACUUAAUUUAAUAUUUUGUAUAUCGUUGUUAUAAAAAUAUUUUUAAAUAAAAAUAAUAUUUAAAAAUUAAAAAAAAAAAUUAAAUCAGAUCAAGAUGCAGAUAAUAAUUAAGAAUAUAAUGGAUUACAAUAAAUUUAUUUAUAACUAAUUUUAAUUUGUAAUAAUUAUUUGAGGGUGGAUUUAAAUGUAAUUUUAUUUAAUUUGUUAAAAUGAUUAAAAAUUAAAAUAUGUACAUAUUGCCCGUCGCUUUCAUAAAUAAAUUGGAAUAAGUCGUAACAAAGUAGAGGUACUGGAAAGUGUUUCUAGAAAUAA